rnacentral:rRNA from 1 species
CUAAUACCGGAUAAAACCCAAGUGCACAUGCACUAAGGUUAAAAGCUGCGUUUGCAGCGCUUUAAGAUGGAUUCGCGGUGCAUUAGUUAGUUGGUGAGGUAAAGGCUCACCAAGACGAUGAUGCAUAGCCGAGUUGAGAGACUGACCGGCCACAUUGGGACUGAGACACGGCCCAAACUCCUACGGGAGGCUGCAGUAGGGAAUCUUCCACAAUGGGCGCAAGCCUGAUGGAGCAACGCCGCGUGUGUGAUGAAGGCUUUCGGGUCGUAAAGCACUGUUGUAUGGGAAGAACGGGUUUAAGAGGAAAUGCUUAGACAGUGACGGUACCAUACCAGAAAGGGACGGCUAAAUACGUGCCAGCAGCCGCGGUAAUACGUAUGUCCCGAGCGUUAUCCGGAUUUAUUGGGCGUAAAGCGAGCGCAGACGGUUGCUUAAGUCUGAAGUGAAAGCCCACAGCUCAACUGUGGAAUGGCUUUGGAAACUGGGCAACUUGAGUACAGUAGAGGUAAGUGGAACUCCAUGUGUAGCGGUGGAAUGCGUAGAUAUAUGGAAGAACACCAGUGGCGAAGGCGGCUUACUGGACUGCAACUGACGUUGAGGCUCGAAAGUGUGGGUAGCAAACAGGAUUAGAUACCCUGGUAGUCCACACCGUAAACGAUGGAUACUAGUUGUUAGAGGGUUUCCGCCCUUUAGUGACGAAGCAAACGCAUUAAGUAUCCCGCCUGGGGAGUACGACCGCAAGGUUGAAACUCAAAGGAAUUGACGGGGACCCGCACAAGCGGUGGAGCAUGUGGUUUAAUUCGAAGCAACGCGAAGAACCUUACCAGGUCUUGACAUCCUUUGAAGGUACUAGAGAUAGUACUGUCUUCUUCGGAAGCAAAGUGACAGGUGGUGCAUGGCCGUCGUCAGCUCGUGUCGUGAGAUGUUGGGUUAAGUCCCGCAACGAGCGCAACCCUUAUGUUUAGUUGCCAGCAUUCAGUUGGGCACUCUAGACAGACUGCCGGUGACAAACCGGAGGAAGGCGGGGACGACGUCAGGUCAUCAUGCCCCUUAUGACCUGGGCUACACACGUGCUACAAUGGCGUAUACAACGAGCAGCAAACCUGUGAAGGUAAGCGAAUCUCUUAAAGUACGUCUCAGUUCGGAUUGUAGUCUGCAACUCGACUACAUGAAGU